UACAGAGGUCUCAAGCGUUGUUCGGAUUCAUUGGGCGUAAAGGGUGCGUAGGCGGCGCGGUAAGUCGGGUGUGAAAUCUCGGAGCUUAACUCCGAAACUGCAUUCGAUACUGCCGUGCUUUGAGGACUGGAGAGGAGACUGGAAUUUACGGUGUAGCAGUGAAAUGCGUAGAUAUCGUAAGGAAGACCAGUGGCGAAGGCGAAUCUCUGGACAGUUACUGACACUGAGGCACGAAGGCCAGGGGAGCAAACAGG
rnacentral:rRNA from 1 species